rnacentral:misc_RNA from 1 species
AGAGGAUAAUAUGCGAUAUUUUAACGUGAUGAUUCUUGGCCCAACACAGUCUCCAUAUGAAGGUAUUAUUUGUGAUAUUAUUUAUGAGUGUAUGGAAUUUGUUUCAAAAACUUUGUUUGCAAUGCAUAAGAAAUGCGAAAUCAAAUUCCUGUUCAGUACUUCACUUAAAUAUGUUUUUGAAGCAACAAAAUAUUUGAUUUUUGAUAGAACAAAAUGAUCUCUUUUCAGAAUAGGAGGUUCUCUUAUCUCUCUUUGCUUCAAUUUCUCUUUUAAUUCCUGCAAAGUAGAGAUAAAUAGCAAGGGGAACCAGUUAUCUAGGUGAUGGACCCUCCAAUGCUUAAGUCGGUAUUCAUGUAGUAUUGAUAGAUGGGUUACUUGCUCCCUCUAACUAAAUAUGUAUAGCUAUGAUAGUUUUAUCAUUUUGCAAGAAAUUUCUUGUUUGUUUUCUCCCAUUAUUUUAUGUCCUAACUCCUUUUUGUUCAUCAGCUGUAAUUUGUGGGAAGCAAUGCUUCUGAAUAUCAGUUAGAUAAGUUUUGAUUCUGAUGUUAUUAAUCUUUAUAAGAUAAAGAUCUAAGAUACAAGCAAUGUGGUUUGUCUUGUCAUCUUACUUAACUCGGGCUUAGCAAGUAUUCCAAUGAAUACCUGAAAUCGCAUUCCUAAAUACUUUUUGAGUAGUUCAUGAUGUGAAUGGAAAUGCUAUAAUUAUUGUGCAUAUGGCUGUAGCUUUUCUUUCUUUCUACAUUUUUUGGAAUUUAGUACUGAGUGUGAAAACAAUACAGUUUUCUUUUUUUCCUAUGCAUUUGUUAUGUAACCUGUGCUAUGAUUGCAAUUUUAUUAAGGUGGGGUUUUCAAGCUGGAAU